rnacentral:rRNA from 1 species
GGCUCAGGAUGAACGCUGGCGGCGUGCUUAACACAUGCAAGUCGAACGAACCUUCGGGUUAGUGGCGGACGGGUGAGUAACGCGUGAGAAUCUGCCCUCAGGAGGGGGAUAACGGUUGGAAACGACCGCUAAUACCCCAUAUGCCUACUGGUGAAACGAAUUUCGCCUGAGGAUGAGCUCGCGUCUGAUUAGCUUGUUGGUGAGGUAAUGGCUCACCAAGGCUUCGAUCAGUAGCUGGUCUGAGAGGAUGAUCAGCCACACUGGGACUGAGACACGGCCCAGACUCCUACGGGAGGCAGCAGUGGGGAAUUUUCCGCAAUGGGCGAAAGCCUGACGGAGCAACGCCGCGUGAGGGACGAAGGCCUCUGGGCUGUAAACCUCUUUUCUCAAGGAAGAAGAUAUGACGGUACUUGAGGAAUAAGCCACGGCUAAUUCCGUGCCAGCAGCCGCGGUAAUACGGGAGUGGCAAGCGUUAUCCGGAAUUAUUGGGCGUAAAGCGUCCGCAGGCGGCUUUUCAAGUCUGCUGUUAAAGCGUGGAGCUUAACUCCAUCAUGGCAGUGGAAACUGAAAGGCUUGAGUAUGGUAGGGGCAGAGGGAAUUCCCGGUGUAGCGGUGAAAUGCGUAGAUAUCGGGAAGAACACCAGUGGCGAAGGCGCUCUGCUGGGCCAUUACUGACGCUCAUGGACGAAAGCCAGGGGAGCGAAAGGGAUUAGAUACCCCUGUAGUCCUGGCCGUAAACGAUGAACACUAGGUGUCGGGGGAAUCGACCCCUUCGGUGUCGUAGCUAACGCGUUAAGUGUUCCGCCUGGGGAGUACGCACGCAAGUGUGAAACUCAAAGGAAUUGACGGGGGCCCGCACAAGCGGUGGAGUAUGUGGUUUAAUUCGAUGCAACGCGAAGAACCUUACCAGGGUUUGACAUCCUGCGAACCUCUUAGAAAUUUGAGGGUGCCUUCGGGAAUGCAGUGACAGGUGGUGCAUGGCUGUCGUCAGCUCGUGUCGUGAGAUGUUGGGUUAAGUCCCGCAACGAGCGCAACCCACGUUUUUAGUUGCCAGCAUUUAGUUGGGCACUCUAGAAAGACCGCCGGUGAUAAACCGGAGGAAGGUGUGGAUGACGUCAAGUCAUCAUGCCCCUUACACCCUGGGCUACACACGUACUACAAUGCUACGGACAAAGGGCAGCAAACUCGCGAGAGCUAGCAAAUCCCAUAAACCGUGGCUCAGUUCAGAUCGUAGGCUGCAACUCGCCUACGUGAAGUAGGAAUCGCUAGUAAUCGCAGGUCAGCAUACUGCGGUGAAUACGUUCCCGGGCCUUGUACACACCGCCCGUCACACCAUGGAAGUUGGCCAUGCCCGAAGUCGUUACUCCAACCCUUGUGGAGGAGGACGCCGAAGGUGGGGCUAAUGACUGGGGUGAAGUCGUAACAAGGUAGCCGUACCGGAAGGUGCGGCUGGAUCACCUCCUAA